GCCGCCGUAGCUCAGUCGGUAGAGCAACACAAUGGUAAUGUGUAGGUCACCGGUUCAAAUCCGGUCGGCGGCUCCA
rnacentral:tRNA from 3 species